rnacentral:rRNA from 1 species
GAAGGGGGCUAGCGUUGCUCGGAAUCACUGGGCGUAAAGGGUGCGUAGGCGGGUUUUUAAGUUAGAGGUGAAAUCCUGGAGCUCAACUCCAGAACUGCCUUUGAUACUGAGAAUCUUGAGUUCGGGAGAGGUGAGUGGAACUGCGAGUGUAGAGGUGAAAUUCGUAGAUAUUCGCAAGAACACCAGUGGCGAAGGCGGCUCACUGGCCCGAUACUGACGCUGAGGCACGAAAGCGUGGGGAGCAAACAGGAUUAGAUACCCUGGUAGUCCGCGCCGUAAACGAUGAAUGCCAGCCGUUAGUGGGUUUACUCACUAGUGGCGCAGCUAACGCUUUAAGCAUUCCGCCUGGGGAGUACGGUCGCAAGAUUA